CAACUACUCUCUCCGUUUCAUAAUUCUUGUCAAAAUAUUACAUGUAUUUAGACACAUUUUGAAUAUAUAUGCAUCCAAUUUUAGGCAAUUGAGACAAAAAUUAUGAAACGGAGGAAGUAUUCA
rnacentral:pre_miRNA from 1 species